rnacentral:rRNA from 1 species
UUGUAGGCUGCAACUCGCCUACAUGAAGUCGGAAUCGCUAGUAAUCGCGGAUCAGCACGCGGCGGUGAAUACGUUCCCGGGCCUUGUACACACCGCCCGUCACACCACGAGAGUUUGUAACACCCGAAGUCGGUGAGGUAACCUAUUAGGAGCCAGCCGCCUAAGGUGGGAUAGAUGAUUGGGGUGAAGUCGUAACAAGGUAAC